UACGGGGGGGGCAAGCGUUGUUCGGAAUUACUGGGCGUAAAGGGCUUGUAGGUGGCCAACUAAGUCAGACGUGAAAUCCCUCGGCUUAACCGGGGAACUGCGUCUGAUACUGGAUGGCUAGAGAUUGGGAGAGGGAUGCGGAAUUCCAGGUGUAGCGGUGAAAUGCGUAGAUAUCGGGAGGAACGCCGGUGGCGAAAGCGACUGUCUGGGGUGCCUGUGACGCUGAGGCGCGAAAGCCAGGGGAUCAAACGGG
rnacentral:rRNA from 1 species